rnacentral:rRNA from 1 species
ACACACGUACUACAAUGGCUGUAACAAAGGGAAGCUAAGCCGCGAGGUGGAGCAAAACCCAAAAAAGCAGUCUCAGUUCGGAUUGAAGGCUGAAACUCGCCUCUUUGAAGUCGGAAUCGCUAGUAAUCGCAGAUCAGCAUGUUGCGGUGAAUACGUUCCCGGGUCUUGUACACACCGCCCGUCAAACCAUGAGAGUCACCAACACCCGAAGUCCGCCUUGGCGGCCUAAGGUGGGGGAGAUGAUUGGGGUUAAGUCGUAACAAGGUAAC